UACGGAGGGUGCAAGCGUUAUCCGGAUUCACUGGGUUUAAAGGGUGCGUAGGAGGGCAGGUAAGUCAGUGGUGAAAUCUUCGAGCUUAACUCGGAACUGCCGUUGAUACUAUCUGUCUUGAAUACCGUGGAGAUGAGCAGAAUAUGUCAUGUAGCGGUGAAAUGCUUAGAUAUGACAUAGAACACCAAUUGCGAAGGCAGCUCGUUACACGAAUAUUGACUCUGAGGCACGAAAGCGUGGGGAUCAAACAGG
rnacentral:rRNA from 1 species